AAGACCGUCCCGAUACGAAGACCAGCCGCAGUCAGUCCCUCACCUCAAGAUGGCGGCGGUGGCAGAACCUCUUACUCUCCAACAAGAUGUCAAGAGAGCUGUUGAAUUACUUGAUAAGCUGCAGAAAACGGGAGAAAUACCCUCAGCCAAGCUAGCGGCGCUCCAGCGAGUGCUCCAGUCCGAGUUCCUGACAGCAGUGCGGGAAGUGUACGAACACGUAUAUGAGACAGUUGACAUCUCCGGCUCCCCUGAGAUCCGUGCCUCUGCUACUGCCAAGGCAACUGUAGCUGCCUUUGCUGCCAGUGAGGGUCAUGCACAUCCCAGAGUUGUAGAACUGCCCAAGACUGAUGAGGGGCUGGGCUUUAAUGUCAUGGGAGGACGGGAGCAGAAUUCCCCCAUCUAUAUCUCCCGAAUCAUCCCUGGAGGCGUGGCAGACCGUCAUGGAGGACUCAAGAGAGGAGACCAGCUGCUGUCAGUCAAUGGAGUGAGCGUGGAGGGUGAGAACCACGAGCGAGCCGUGGAGUUGCUGAAAGCUGCCAGUGGCUCAGUGAAGCUGGUGGUGCGCUACACCCCACGAGUGCUGGAGGAAAUGGAGAUGCGGUUCGACAAACAGCGGGCGUCACGUAGGCGAACUUCCCAGUUACAGUAGAAAGCCCUAGUGGAGGAGUGGCGAGGCUGGGGCUGCUCCGUGCCAGUGAUGGGGGACAGCCGGCCAGGUGGCAGGCAGUGGAACUGAACACCUGUGGCAGCUUACAGCAGACACCAAGAGUCACCACCACACUCACACCACUGAGGUUGCUCGUGUGGCCAGCCAUUGGUAUCGAUGCUUACUGAAAAUGUUAUUACCAGUUUGUUGACAAUUUAAGGCUUUUUGCACCAAGACCCAACAGGGCAUUUGUGGCUUAACACCUUCAGCCUCCCUGGAUCACCAUCACCUUUGUGCCCUUCCUUGUAUGUUAGAAAGUUACUUAUACAUAAUGUUCUUGCAUAGUCAUUCUGCCUUUGAAAGACAGAGUUUUUGGAGGUUUUAUAGAUGAAGGUUGUACAACGUUGAGGCUAAGUUCCAUUAAAGCUAUGCAGUCUUUAUCUGCCUUGUGAUGUUGGAGCACUUUUGCAGCAUUAUUGAAAAGGAAGUUCAUAUCUGUAUCACAGAAAUUUUAUUUCAAAAUUGGUACUCUUCAAAAUUAGAUAUCUUUUCCUGCACUAAUAUUUCAUAAGUGUUUGUGUCUUUGUCAUUUAGAAAGCGUCAUGUGUUCUGUGUGAAGUCAUGGUGUUCCUGCAGAUAGUAAGCACAUUUAUAACAUUUUAAUAUAUAUUAUCUGUUCCCUCUCCUAACCUUGCUGCUUCCCUUCCUCCUUAAUUUAAGAGGUCAUCCUGGCAUAAAGAAUUAUUCAAAGUGGAAUACUGUUAUAUAAUUUUUGUUCAAGAUAGUAAUGCUGUUGAUGGAGGGGGUUUUCAGUAAAAACAUUCCAUUUGUAAUUCUCCAUAUGGCUCUAUGAUAAGGGUUGUUUUCCAUGCAGAAGGUGCUGCUAAGCUGAAAUCUCAUUCAUUAUAGCAUGUUUAUUUCAGUUAUUUAACAUAUAAUUUGUGUAUUUUCAUAUAUUUCAUAAAUCACUAUCUGUAUAAAAAAUGCAUUUGUCACUGCAUAUACUUACAAAAUGUUCUGUUCAAUAUUUUUGAGUGGUAGCAUUUUAUGUUUUAAGAUUUAUUUGAAGUCUACUGUUGAAAUCUGUCAGAUGUUAUUGUGAAUUCAGCAUGACACGUCACCAGCAGGGGGAUAUUGCUUUGAGUGUAAACCCAUAAAUUGCUGUGACAAGCAGCCAGACCCAUGGCUUUGAUUACAUGCAGCACACCCCAUCAUGGCUAAAAGUUUGAAUGCUUGCUUUGUUGUAAACCACUGCACAUCACUUGAAAAUGUCGAUAUCCGUGAAUCUCAGCUUGCAGGAUUCUAUGAUGAAACUGAAAAUAUUGUCACUGCUGAUGCUUUGGUAUGCCAGACCUAUUCAGUGUUGACUCAUUCAUUUCAAGGAGCCAGAGAUGAUGUAUUCAUUGAUUUAUGGCUUACCAAAGUUGUUUGACACAGUUUUGACCGUUGCUUGGAUUAGGACGUGUCCUGCAGCCAGUAUCUAUUUGUUUUCUUGAUUGUUAAGGGUGAUUGAUGGAAUAAGGUUGCUAUUUCUUGAAUUUCCUCAGUUGAGAGCUACCCAGCAUACAUGAAGUUCAUGUACUAUAGUUAUUGUUAUGAUUACAUACAUUGUAUUGCAUUAAUUACGUUAUUGUAAAGGAAAUAAUGACAUGCUGAUCAGUUUGCUUUGCUGGGAAUGUGUUGAUGCCAGACUGAUAAGGGUGCCACUAGUCAUGAUUGUGCUCACAGCCUUGGAUUAUUAGAAAAUGUGAAUAUAUAAUACUAUUUUCCACUAUUUAUAUUUCUAUUUAAUGUGAGAAGGUGAGGAAAGUAAAGUGCUUUUCAUUAUUAUAGUAUGCAUAACAUACAUACUGUACCAGUUUAAUCUUUAGACUACAGACUAUGAAGGCAUUUAUGAUGUACAGUAAUGCAAGUUUUGCAUACAGGCCAUGUUAAUGAAUUCAGGUACAGCCAGUGGGAGUCACUUGAGAGAAUAGUAGCUACUGUAGAGAACUUAUAUGUUUACCAAGUAUGAGGGAUAAUUUGUAUUUAGACAAUUACAGUAUUAGUCAUGAAUGUUGGAUCCCAUGGCUGUAAAAAGAUGUAAUGUUUGUCACUAUUGACUAGUACAUACUCAUUGUCUUAACAAAAAGGGAAGGGAGGAAAGGUGGGGUGGUGGGAGAGUGAAAGGAAUGAUGGAUGAAGAAGCAGGGGAGGGGGUCAAGGGGUCCAAACUAAUGACUAGUACUGUAGCGUUUUUUUUUUUUGUUCCCUUGGUCCCGAGAUAUCCACAGUAGCAGAGCAUAGCAUCUUGGUGGGUGGUGGAGGCCUUGAGGGGGUAGCUAGUAAUUUAUCAGUGCUGGAGGCUUUGUCCCUUCCUUACCUGUGACUUAUUGUAUGACCAUUGUUUAUGAACACUGUAGCUAUGGUUAGGUGUAUAGUGUUUAUAUAUAAUAGAUGUAGAUCAUGUAUGUACCCUGUCAUGUACAUUUUUUUUUUUUUCCUAAUGUAAAUGUUUCCUUUUA
rnacentral:misc_RNA from 1 species